ACACGCUGUAGAGAAAAACUCUUAAUUAAUCUUGGCCAAGUCAUAAAACAAACAAAAAAAGGGACAAUAACCCCUGGUAGGAGAGUAUCAGAAAUAAAUGCUGUUACAAUGUAUUAUUUAAAAUGUCCAGUUUUAAACAGGAAAGGAUGGCUUAUCUAGUAUAAAAAAAAUACUCAGUAUAAACAGAAGCUAUUUCCAAGGGUUCCCAAGUGUUGGACUUCACAGACAGACUUCAAAGCAGCCAAUAAAAAUAUAUCUUCAAAGAACAAAAGAAAACCAUGUUUAAUCAAAGCAUGAAAACAAUGACUAAUCAGAGAACACUUAAUAAAGAGAUCAACAUUUUUUAAAAAAUGGAAAUUCUGGAGUUGAAAAGUAACUAAAGUGAAAGCUUCAUUAGAGCGACAACAGCAAACUUGAAUGCAGAAGGAAGAAUCAGUGAACUCAAAGACAAAUCAAUACAAAUUACACAAUCUGAAGAACAGAAGUGAGAAUGAAAAAUGAACCGAGUAGGAAACCUGUGGGUUACAAUCAAUACUAACAUAUGCAUAAUGGGAAUCCCAGAAGAAAAGAAUAGUGAGGGCCAUACAAGUUUUGAUAUCUUUUGAAGAGUCAUAAAAGUUUUUAAUGUCUGAAAACAUUCCAAAUUUGGUAAGAAGUAUAAAUCUGUAUAUCCAAGUAUCUCAAUAAAACCCAAGUAGAAUAAACAUUAAAAUAUCCACACCGAUACACAUCAAAAUCUUGAAAGCAGCAAGAGAAAAACUGACUUAUCAUGCACAGGGGAACCCCAGUAAAAUUAGCAGCUGACUUCUCAAAAGAAACAAUGAAGGCCAGAAUUAAGUGGUAUAACAUACUCUACUGUCAAACAAGAAUUCUAAAUCCAGUAAAACUAUCCUUCAAAAAAGAAGACAAAAAUAAUGAUCUUCCCAGAUAGACAAAGAGAAUUUGUUGCCACCAAAAUUUUUUUUACAAGAUAUGCUAAAGCAAGUACUUCAGGCUGAAAGGAAACACCACCAGAUGGUAACUUGAAUCCACAUAAAAAAGUACCAGUAAAAGUAAUUAUGUAGGCAAAUGUAAAAAAUAGAAAAAAUACUCAAGUUUUCUUCUCUUACUUAAAAGAUAAUUGCAUGGAAAAAUAAUGAACUCAUAUAGUUAUAAAUAAUAAA
rnacentral:lncRNA from 1 species